rnacentral:rRNA from 1 species
CACGUAGGGGGCGAGCGUUGUCCGGAUUUAUUGGGCGUAAAGAGCUCGUAGGCGGCUCGGUAAGUCAACUGUGAAAGCUCCGGGCUCAACUCGGAGAGGCCAGUUGAUACUGCUGUGGCUAGAGUCCGGUAGGGGAGCGUGGAAUUCCUGGUGUAGCGGUGAAAUGCGCAGAUAUCAGGAGGAACACCAAUGGCGAAGGCAGCUCGCUGGAACGGUACUGACGCUGGAGGCGCGAAAGCGUGGGGAGCGAACAGG